rnacentral:rRNA from 1 species
CCUACGGGUGGCUGCAGUCGAGAAUUUUUCACAAUGGGCGAAAGCCUGAUGGAGCGACGCCGCGUGGGGGAUGAAUGGCUUCGGCCCGUAAACCCCUGUCAUUUGCGAACAAACCAUAUCAUUUAAAAGAUGAUGUGCUGAUUGUAGCGAAAGAGGAAGGGACGGCUAACUCUGUGCCAGCAGCCGCGGUAAUACAGAGGUCCCAAGCGUUGUUCGGAUUCACUGGGCGUAAAGGGUGCGUAGGUGGCAGGGUAAGUCUGAGGUGAAAUCUCCGAGCCUAACUCGGAAACUGCCUUGGAUACUAUCCCGCUAGAGGGUUGGAGGGGGGACUGGAAUUCUCGGUGUAGCAGUGAAAUGCGUAGAUAUCGAGAGGAACACCAGUGGCGAAGGCGAGUCCCUGGACAACUCCUGACACUGAGGCACGAAAGCUAGGGGAGCAAACAGGAUUAGAUACCCCUGUAGUC